rnacentral:rRNA from 1 species
UUCGCAAUGCCCGAAAGGGUGAACGAGCGACGCCGCGUGCGGGAUGAAGGGUUUCGGCUUGUAAACCGCUUUUCUUUGGGAAGAAGGUCUGUCUCGUGCAGAUGGGCUCGACGGUACCAGAGGAAUAAGCCUCGGCUAACUCCGUGCCUGCAGCCGCGGUAAUACGGAUGGAGCAAGCGUUGUUCGGAAUCACUGGGCAUAAAGCGCAUGUAGGCGGCCUUGAAAGUCGGGUGUGAAAUCCCCUGGCCCACCCAGGGAACUGCAUUCGAAACUUCAAGGCUUGAGUGAAGAAGGGGAGAGUGGAACUCCUGGUGGAGCGGUAAAAUGCGUAGAUAUCAGGAGGAACGUCGGUGGAGAAGUCGACUCUCUGGUCUUUUACUGACGCUGAGAUGCGAAAGCUAGGGGAGCAAACGAGAUUAGAUACCCCGGUAGUCCUGGCCGUAAACGUUGGGCACUAAGUAGAGGGGUUUU